GCCGGUGUGGCCCAGUGGAUAGAGCGUCAGCCCGCAGACUGAAGGAUCCCGGGUUCGAUUCCAGGCAAGGGCA
rnacentral:tRNA from 1 species